GAUGAACGCUAGCGGCAGGCUUAACACAUGCAAGUCGAGGGGUAGAAGUUGCUUGCAACUUUGAGACCGGCGCACGGGUGCGUAACGCGUAUGCAACCUACCUUUUACAGAGGGAUAGCCCAGAGAAAUUUGGAUUAAUACCUCAUAGUAUAUAACCUUCGCAUGUUGGUUAUAUUAAAGUUCCAACGGUAAAAGAUGGGCAUGCGUCCUAUUAGCUAGUUGGGGUGGUAACGGCACAACAAGGCGACGAUAGGUAGGGGUCCUGAGAGGGAGAUCCCCCACACUGGUACUGAGACACGGACCAGACUCCUACGGGAGGCAGCAGUGAGGAAUAUUGGACAGUGGGCGCAAGCCUGAUCCAGCCAUGCCGCGUGCAGGAAGAAGCAUCUAUGGUGUGUAAACUGCUUUUGUACAGGAAGAAACACCCCUUCGUGAAGGGACUUGACGGUACUGUAAGAAUAAGGAUCGGCUAACUUCGUGCCAGCCGCCGCAGUAAAAC
rnacentral:rRNA from 1 species